AGGGUGCAGGGCGGAUGCCUUGGCACUAGGAGCCGAUGAAGGACGUGAUAAGCUGCGAUAAGCUUCGGGGAGUUGCACGUAAACUUUGAUCCGAAGAUUUCCGAAUGAGGAAACUCACUUAGAGUAAUGUCUAAGUAUCAUUAAGUGAAUACAUAGCUUAAUGAGGGGAACUCAGGGAACUGAAACAUCUAAGUACCUGAAGGAAGAGAAAGAAAUUCGAUUCCGUAAGUAGCGGCGAGCGAACGCGGAUUAGCCCAAACCAAUAAAGUUUUCUUUAUUGGGGUUGCGGACAUAUCAUAACGAAGAGGUAUCGUAAUUGAAGAGGUUUGGAAAGACCCACCACAGAAGGUAAUAGUCCUGUAUGUUAAACGAGAAGACUUCAGAUAUGAUCCAGAGUACCACGGGACACGUGAAACCCUGUGGGAAGCAGGAGGGACCACCCUCCAAGGCUAAAUACUACCUAGUGACCGAUAGCGUAUAGUACCGUGAGGGAAAGGUGAAAAGAACCCCGGGAGGGGAGUGAAAUAGAACCUGAAACCCUGCACUUACAAGCUGUGGAAGCACAUUUCUUGUGUGACCGCGUACUUUUUGUAGAACGGGCCAACGAGUUACGUUAAGUAGCAAGGUUAAGCACUUAAGGUGUGGAGCCGUAGCGAAAGCGAGUUUUAACUGAGCGUUCAGUUACUUGACGUAGACCCGAAACCGGGCGACCUACCCAUGAGCAGGAUGAAGCGAAAGUAAAAUUUCGUGGAGGUCCGAACCCACGAGCGUUGAAAAGCUCGGGGAUGACUUGUGGGUAGCGGUGAAAUUCCAAUCGAGCCCGGAGAUAGCUGGUUCUCCCCGAAAUAGCUUUAGGGCUAGCCUCAAGGUGAGAGAUACGGAGGUAGAGCACUGAAUGUCCUAGGGGGUAUUGCACCUACCGAAGACUAUCAAACUCCGAAUGCCGUCAUCUUAUACUUGGGAGUCAGACUGUGGGUGAUAAGAUUCAUAGUCGAAAGGGCAACAGCCCAGAUCGUCAGCUAAGGUCCCUAAAUGUAAGUUAAGUGGUAAAGGAUGUGGGAUUGCACAGACAACCAGGAUGUUGGCUUAGAAGCAGCCACUCAUUCAAAGAGUGCGUAAUAGCUCACUGGUCGAGUGAUCCUGCGCCGAAGAUUUCCGGGGCUAAAACUUACUACCGAAGCUACGGCAUCAGUAAUGAUGGGUAGGGGAGCUUCCCAUACGGGUUGAAGCAUGACCGUAAGGACAUGUGGACAGUAUGGGAGUGAGAAUGUUGGCAUGAGUAGCGAGAUGUGGGUGAGAAUCCCACAGGCCGUAAACCCAAGGUUUCCAGGGGAAGGUUCGUCCGCCCUGGGUUAGUCGGGACCUAAGCUGAGGCCGAAAGGCGUAGGUGAUGGACAACAGGUUGAUAUUCCUGUACUACCGAUAACCGUUUGAGAGAAGGGAUGACACAGUAGGAUAAGCUAAGCACACUGUUGGUUAUGUGUGCCCAAGCAUUGAGGCAGUCAAAGUAGGCAAAUCCGCUUUGAUAAUGCUGGGAUGUGAUGGGGAGCGAAAUUUAGUAGCGAAGUAGCUGAUUUCACACUGUCAAGAAAAGUCUCUAUCGAGGUUAAAGGUACCCGUACCGCAAACCGACACAGGUGGGUGAGGAGAGUAUCCUAAGGCCAGCGAGAGAACUGUUGUUAAGGAACUCGGCAAAAUGACCCCGUAACUUAGGGAUAAGGGGUGCCACCAUCAGGUGGCCGCAGAGAAUAGGCCCAAGCGACUGUUUACCAAAAACAUAGGUUUCUGCUAAGUCGCAAGACGAUGUAUAGGAGCUGACGCCUGCCCGGUGCUGGAAGGUUAAGGGGAUCUGUUAGAGCAAUCGAAGCAGUGAACUUAAGCCCCAGUAAACGGCGGCCGUAACUAUAACGGUCCUAAGGUAGCGAAAUUCCUUGUCGGGUAAGUUCCGACCCGCACGAAAGGCGUAACGAUUUGGGCACUGUCUCAACAACAGACUCGGUGAAAUUGUAAUUCCGGUGAAGAUGCCGGAUACCUGCGACAGGACGGAAAGACCCCAUGGAGCUUUACUGUAGCUUGACAUUGGGUCUUGGUACUACAUGUACAGGAUAGGUGGGAGGCUUUGAAACCAGGACGCCAGUUUUGGCGGAGCCAUCCUUGGGAUACCACCCUUGUAGUACUGGGACUCUAACCAUAGGCCAUGAAUCUGGUCUUGGGACACUGUCAGGUGGGCAGUUUGACUGGGGCGGUCGCCUCCCAAAAGGUAACGGAGGCGCUCAAAGGUUCUCUCAGUACGGUCGGAAAUCGUACGUAGAGUGUAAAGGCAAAAGAGAGCUUGAUUGCAAGACAUACAGGUCGAGCAAGGAUGAAAAUCGGACUUAGUGAUCCGGUGGUUCUGCGUGGAAGGGCCAUCGCUCAACGGAUAAAAGCUACCCUGGGGAUAACAGGCUUAUCUCCCCCAAGAGUCCACAUCGACGGGGAGGUUUGGCACCUCGAUGUCGGCUCAUCACAUCCUGGGGCUGUAGUAGGUCCCAAGGGUUGGGCUGUUCGCCCAUUAAAGUGGUACGCGAGCUGGGUUCAGAACGUCGUGAGACAGUUCGGUCCCUAUCCGUCGCAGGCGUAGGAAAUUUGAGAAGACCUGUCCUUAGUACGAGAGGACCGGGAUGGACGUACCUCUGGUGUACCAGUUGUUCUGCCAAGGGCAUGGCUGGGUAGCUAUGUACGGAAUGGAUAAGCGCUGAAAGCAUCUAAGCGCGAAGCCAACUUCAAGAUAAGAUUUCCCACCGCAAGGGUAAGACCCCAGAAAGACUAUCUGGUUGAUAGGUCGAAGGUGUAAGUGCAGCAAUGUAUUUAGCUUAUCGAUACUAAUAGGUCGAGGACUUGACC
rnacentral:rRNA from 1 species